UCUAAGUUCCUCAGGCAAGUAAGUACAUAGGAGAUACACAGGUAAAUAUAAAAUACUCCAUGUAGUAAUAUAAGAACUAUACUCAGGCAGGAGGAUGAAGAAGGAGCAUAUGCAUGAAUCAUUUCUUUAUGUAUAUAUUUUUCCUUUCAAAGCAUGGGUAGGAUCAUGUCAUGUCCCUUCUCAGCGAAGUUCAGCGGCAUCUUACUGUACCCAGAAUAGCCUGUGGAAGCCUCUCAGAGCUGCCUUUCAUCUCAUUUUUCAUCCCAAGUAUUUUCACAUCCUUUAGGUACCCUUUGCUCCAGCUUACUGGGUCUAUUAUCUGUUCCCCCAAAGACCGUGCUUUACAUGUCCAGGCCUUUGCUCAUUCUGUUUGGUCAGCAAGGGAUAAAUUUUACUCCUUAUUUCAUUGGUAAGAUCUUACUGAUCCCACAAGACUGAGUUCAGAUGCCUUCUCUUUCAUGAAAACUUCCAUAGUCCUACUAAUCAGAAUCAAUGAUUUCUUCCUCAUUGUUGGUCUGUUAUAUGUAUCACCGUUACCCGUUGUAGGCUUCUCUCAUUCCGGCUUGUAUCUAGUUAAUGCAUUCAUCUAUCUAUACAUUUAUUCAAGUAUUUCUUGAAAGCCUGCUCUGUUCCUGGCACUAUGCAAGGAUACGGGAAUGUAGUGGGAAGCAGAAAACAGACAUGGUGCCUGUGCUUUGGGAGCUUAGUCUUCAGGUGGAGACAGGCAAUAAGGACACAGCAAAAUCCACAAAGCCAAAACUGCAGCUGUGAUAAGCGCAAGGAAGAUAGAGAGAUCUGUGUAUCUCUCUUUCUAGACUCUAAUCUCCUUAAUGUCAGUGACAGCCUCUUGCUUGGUAGAAAAGGCAAUAGAAUAAGUCAGCUACGACCAUAUAGUGGGGUUCGUGCUCUGAAGUCCCAGUGCAUGUGAUUAUGAUUUCAUUUAGAAUAGAGUCUUUGCAGAUGUAAUCAAGUUAAGAUGAGGUCAUACUCAAUUAGGGUGGGCCCUAAUCCAAUAUGACUGGUGUCCAAUAAGAAUAGGAGAAAAGACACAGACACAAGGGAGAAGGUCAUGUGAAGACAGACGCAGGGAUUGGAGUGAUGAGUUUAUAAGCCAAGGAACACCAAGGAAUGACAGCAAUCGCCAAUAGCUGGAGGGGAGGCAUGCAACAGAUUCUCCCUCAGAACCUCUAGAGGAAACCAACUGUGAUGGCACUUGGAUUUCAGACUUGUGGCUUCCAGAACUGUGAGAGAAUCAAUUUCUUUUUUUUUUUUCUUUCUUUUUUUUCUUUUCUCAGCCACCCAGUCUGUGGUAAUUUGCUCUGGCAGUCCUUGGAAACAAGUAUACUCUCUCAGAGGGAAGUUCUUACGAGCUAGAACACAGCACCACAAUGCACUAAUGUUUGGACCCUUACCUUUCCCCUGCCUCCUGAGUCCUCCUCAUGCUUGGCCCAUCACAACACCACCUCUGUAAAGUCUGCACGAUCUACUCCAGUCUCACAAACCUCCGUUGCACUUCAAUAGGUGAAGUUUUGUUUAUGUGGGUGUUCCCACAUAGAUGAUGAGUCCCUGGAGGGCAGGUGACCUCUGACUGUGGCCAUGAAUCCCAUUGUCAGUCUUUGUUCUGACGAUGCACCGAGGACCCUCCCUAAAACACGAAGCAUGCUGUUGACUUUGUUCCCAGGCCUGGUGUCUGCCAGAUCUGCCCAGUUCAGUUCCCAUUGCUGCCAGCCGAGAUUUUUCCCAUCGCCACGACAGCAGAACAUACUCGCCUUCUCUUCGCUCUUUAGAGACUUGGUUAUUUCAAGAAAAGCUGAGGACGGACUUGCUGGGAAUGACUGCUGCUGUGUCUGACCACCGAGAGCACAUUUUCCCUACUGGUUGUUUUCCUUUUCGACCUCCUGGGGCUUUGGUUGUGUUUACAUUUGGGCCCUGUCAUUUCAUUGUUUCAUGAAUGUCUAUUUGAGUAAGACACUUGGCAUCCAAAUAUCUUUCCUUUUUUGGUUCAAAUUGAGUCCAAAUGUCUAACAGUCUCGCCAUUGAUCAUUGAAAUGGAAAGAUUAAAAAAUUUCACUUGCUUAUUUUUUUCUGCCUUAAAUCCGGUAAUGAGUCAUUUUUGCAGGCCCUAAGGACCAUAGCUGUCAUCUAUGACCUGCCUUCUUAUUUUAUAUAAUGGUGCGCUCUACUCCACACUACCACAUCUGGGAUGCAAAGCUAUUAAACGGUGCCAAAGGAAUUUCCAAAUGAACUAUUUUCUUUAACGGGUAAAGAAUGCUUCGGAUCUUCAGUUGCCCCUGACCUCAGUGUGGCCUUUUUCUUAGUGGUUUGGUUGAAGGGAAAGAAGGAAAAACAACAAAAAAUCGUAUAUGCUGUGUAAUGGCCACAUUGCGGCAGGGUCAUAUUUAGCUCGCUAAGUUACUACCAUUGUGAAUCCAGGGUUUUGUCUGAACGUUGUUCUCAAGCCCUUUCCUUACAGAAAGCUUGCUGCCCGUGGUCCCUUCUUUCUUAGCCAAUGGACCAGGCUCCUCUCCUGUUUUCCUCGUAGGGCUUUCGUGUUUUGGGUGCCUGCCAACCUAGCAGGAGGUAUUUUUCUACCACUACUUAAUCCUCAUCAAACUGGGAUAGCCUCACUUCCCUGCACACAUCCCAUGCUGUUCUUUCUGUCUCUCCUUUUACAUAAUUCCUCUCAAGUAGAUCCCCCUCUGGAUUCCCCUCCCUCAAGGCCCAGCUCAGGUCAUGCUUCCUCCCUGGGCCUUCCCCCAUCCCCCCCCCCUUUUUUUUUUUGAGAGAGAGAGAGGUGGGCCAGGGGGCCAGCAGAGGGAGACAGGGGAGAGAGAGAGAGAAAAUCUUAAGCAGGCUCCAGGUCUGACUCGGGACUCAAUCUCACCACUCUGAGAUCAUGACCUGAGCCAAAACCAAGAGUCAGACGCUUAACCCCCAAGUCCUCUGUUCCUGGGCCUUCCCAAACUAAGCUGUGCAUCUGCGUUGCUGGGCCCCUCCCAGUCCUCUGCACAAAUCAAGUGUAUACUCUGCAUUAUCAUGCAAGUCCUGGUGUUGCCUCCCCACUGGGGACAGCUCCACAGGCUAGCAAUGACAUUCUCCUUACAGCACCAGAAGACUCAGGUGGAAGGGGACCAUGCAUAGAGUGUUUACUCACACCUGCCAGCUUUUAAAGAGUUGGUCUUGGAAGAAUGAUUGAAAACAUACGUUUGAGUCAGCACAGGAAAAAUGCGUUGAACCACGGGGUGCCUAGUUCUAAGCUUUGUGUGUGAAGGCUAUGCCAUUUAAUGCCUCAAAUUCUUGAUGGAAAGGCAAGCAUUUAGUCAUAUAAUCUGAAUGUUGUGAAAUGUUAUAUAUUCUCUAUGUAUGUAUUUAGAAAAAUAAGGACAUGUGGUAGACUGUAAAAAAUAUGUUUAAGUUGAAUAAAAGACUGUUUCAGCUCUACACUAAUGUCAUAUACUUUGAUACUUGAAUUUUGUGUUUCACAAUGUUAAAUGAAAGUUAUAAUAUGCAAAUACCAUAGAUAAUUUAAAUAAUGCUAAAACCAUACAUUAGGCCCUACCUAUACAGUCUAGAAUUUGGACCUGGAGGAAUGGACGUGGAUGCUCAGAUUCUUUGGUGUGUGGAGGAGGGACGGCUAACUGUUUCAACUUCAGAACUUUUCUGAGUAGUAAUUGCCUAUUUACUUUGCACUGCUACUGAACAAUAAAAUAUGAGGGAAGAGUUAUUUUGGCUCUUCUCAAUUUUUGUAGGAAUAUUACUUUUGAGCUCUGCUCUACUUUUAC